AGUGGAUGAAGAGAACAAGAGGCAUGA
rnacentral:sRNA from 1 species